rnacentral:rRNA from 1 species
UACGGAGGAUCCAAGCGUUAUCCGGAAUCAUUGGGUUUAAAGGGUCCGUAGGCGGUUUUGUAAGUCAGUGGUGAAAGCCCAUCGCUCAACGGUGGAACGGCCAUUGAUACUGCAAGACUUGAAUUACUAGGAAGUAACUAGAAUAUGUAGUGUAGCGGUGAAAUGCUUAGAUAUUACAUGGAAUACCAAUUGCGAAGGCAGGUUACUGCUAGUGGAUUGACGCUGAUGGACGAAAGCGUGGGGAGCGAACAGG